UUAUUGGUCAAUGGGCGCAAGCCUGAACCAGCCAUGCCGCGUGCAGGAAGACGGCCCUAUGGGUUGUAAACUGCUUUUAUACGGGAAUAAACCUACCGACGUGUCGGUAGCUGAAUGUACUGUAAGAAUAAGGAUCGGCUAACUCCGUGCCAGCAGCCGCGGUAAUACGGAGGAUCCAAGCGUUAUCCGGAUUUAUUGGGUUUAAAGGGUGCGUAGGCGGCCUAUUAAGUCAGGGGUGAAAGACGGUAGCUUAACUAUCGCAGUGCCCUUGAUACUGAUGGGCUUGAAUAUACUAGAGGUAGGCGGAAUGUGACAAGUAGCGGUGAAAUGCAUAGAUAUGUCACAGAACACCGAUUGCGAAGGCAGCUUACUAUGGUAUUAUUGACGCUGAGGCACGAAAGCGUGGGGAUCAAACAGGAUUAGAUACCCUGGUAGUCCACGCCCUAAACGAUGAACACUCGAUGUUAGCGAUAUACAGUUAGCGUCAAAGCGAAAGCGUUAAGUGUUCCACCUGGGGAGUACGCCCGCAAGGGUGAAACUCAAAGGAAUUGACGGGGGCCCGCACAAGCGGAGGAGCAUGUGGUUUAAUUCGAUGAUACGCGAGGAACCUUACCCGGGCUUGAAAGUUAGUGAAGUUUCCAGAGAUGGAUACGUCCGCAAGGACACGAAACUAGGUGCUGCAUGGCUGUCGUCAGCUCGUGCCGUGAGGUGUUGGGUUAAGUCCCGCAACGAGCGCAACCCCUGUGGAUAGUUGCCAGCAUGUAAUGGUGGGGACUCUAUUCAGACUGCCUGUGCAAACAGAGAGGAAGGAGGGGACGACGUCAAGUCAUCAUGGCCCUUACGUCCGGGGCUACACACGUGCUACAAUGGAUGGUACAGAGGGCUGCUACACUGCAAAGUGAUGCCAAUCUCUAAAAGCCAUUCACAGUUCGGAUUGAGGUCUGCAACUCGACCUCAUGAAGUUGGAUUCGCUAGUAAUCGCGUAUCAGCAAUGACGCGGUGAAUACGUUCCCGGGCCUUGUACACACCGCCCGUCAAGCCAUGGAAGCUGGGAGUACCUGAAGUGCGUAACCGCAAGGAGCGUCCUAGGGUAAAAUCGGUAACUGGGGCUAAGUCGUAACAAGGUAGCCGUACCGGAAGGUGCGGCUG
rnacentral:rRNA from 1 species